GCAAUGUUCAAAAGAAAAAGCAGAUACAUCCGUUGGAUCCAGUGAUGCUUAUGACUUUACUUUUGCAGAGAGGGUUCAUGUUACACCUUUCCGUCAAAACAAAGAAAAUGAAAAUAGAACUAAUGGGAAAAAUCACACAGAAGAAAUGGAAAAUUCCAGUGGUGAAUCAUUCAUUAUAGAAGACGAUUCUGAUGAUAGUCUCUAUGUGCCUUACAGCAAAAAAUCAAAAGCAGGAAAAAACCCAGCCUAUACUGACGUAAGUCCAGUGCACACAAGACCACGACUGAAGAAGACUGUGUAUGAGCAACAUGAUAAAAAUAUUGAGAAGAAAAACAAGAAUACUAAAAAAACUGAGAAUUCUUGUAAAAAAACCAAUUCAAGUCCCCUUGAAAAUACUAAAGAGGAAAGUUCCUCUCAGAAAAACAGUGGAUCCAACAUUGGCAUAAAAGUUGUUGCACUAGUACACUGUUCAGCUCCUGCUGUCACGGCUGAGGAUGAAGUAUGCGGUAGGAACUCUGCUAAUGAAAAUAGCAACUCUGAGAAAGAUAGACCAUCUGAGGCUCUUCAGAAACAUCGUCUCCAUCUUAGUGAUAUUACCAACCGUGAAUCGUCAUCAACUGGCCAAACUAGACUUUCCCACUCACCUGUAAAUAUGGAAGUAAAUGGCAUUUCAUACCACAAACGUAGAUGUACUGUUUCUGUGAGUUAUAAGGAGCCAACUCUCAGUGGGUUAGUAUAUUUUAUUUUCAGUUCACAGGGUUAUGAUCUGUUUCUUUAGUUGUAUCUUUGGUUUAGAAACAUAGUCUGAAGAUAAAAUCCAGUCUUAUCCGAGAGUUGUUCCUUAUUUAUAUUAUUAAUUAUAUCAUUAACGCUAUUAACAAGGCAAGGACUACAAUAUUUAUUGUUUACUAUUUUGCUAAUUUGUUUUGAUAGGAAGCUCAGAAGAGGCGACCCUUUUACAGACACUGGUUUUCUUGAUUCUCCAAUUUUUAAAGAUAAAAAGAAGACGCGCAAGUCUGUUAAAAAGAAAUCACUGUCCAGAUACAAUGAGGCGUUUGUUGGUUGCCUUUAGGAACUUUUUGAAGGAACAAAACCUGUCAAUUUUAGUAUUAAGCUAUGAAGGUAAAGUUGCAAGAACUUUUUAAAUAUAUGCCUGUACAUA
rnacentral:lncRNA from 1 species